rnacentral:lncRNA from 1 species
CCGCCUAAUAAGUAAUUUGCACGCAAGAUAAAAGCAUCUGGGAACCCAUAUAUUUUUCAAAAUAAUCCUUUCAAAGCAUAAGAAUGUAAUACAUGUGCGCGCAUCUGAAUGCAUAAACCUUAAGGAUGUAAGGAAAAUGCCAGAAUCUCAGCACCCAGAAAUCUUUAUUGGCAACGUACAGCACUGAAAAUGCUAUUGAAUAUGCAAUCCAGAGACUCUAAUUUGUUGCCUCUCUACUUUCUGCAUGAAUCUUUCCUUUUUUUUUUAUCAAAAACAAGAGUACGAAUUUUAUGUCAUAAUUAUCAAAACCCAGAAACAAAAGAGAGCAAAGAUCUAAUCUUUCAUAAUAAAAACAAAAAGAUCCAAUCUUUUAUUCAUCACCAAAGCCUCUCUGGAUCUAAACCAAAAGUUUAGAAAAGAGGCAAGCAAGUGUUUACAUGCAUUUGUAUGUAUAUGUUUUAAUGAAAUAUAAGCGAUAGAGAGUUAUGCGAGUGGCGGCGAAGGAAGAGAUGGG